CUGUGGAAACGGAAGUAAAAUGCAGAUAUUGGUCUAUAUUAACAAUGAAAUUAAAAUUUCUGAGCUAGUUUCCUGAUGAAAACGGCAGCAUAAUUAUUGUUUAAUCAUUGCCAUGAUGAUUGACGGUUUAGUUUGAAGAAAAAACACGUAUUUUAUGUGUCGAUUGCUGGCACCGGAUAAUGCAUGAAUUAGGCACCGGAUAAUAGCCGAAACUAAUGAACUUACGUAUCGUACUUUUAAAGAAUAUUUUGCAUUCUGCUUAUAUGGUUAACAUUUAAAGAAUUUCUUGAUUUAAGAUUGUUUAAUGAAUGUGUCGGUUAUUUCUCGUCACUCAGACCUGACCACUCUGUCUAAACGCCAGUUAAAACGCAUGAAAAAUGUCUUGACCCUGCCCUGAAAAAGCUUAUUAAAACAAGACAUUAAUGGUUACACACUGUAUUGAUUCUUACAAAAUCGGAUGUAGAACGCGUGCUAUUGUAGAACGACCGAUAAAUCGUUAAUAUCUAUAAGAUAUAACAACCAUUUGAUUGUUUUAAUAUUAAAAUCAUAUAAACGAUUUGAUCACCUUUGAUUGUUUUAAUAUUAAAAUAAUAUAAACGAUUUGAUCACGAUUUGAAAAAAAGUUUUGAGACCAGUUCAGCAGUAAUAAUUGUAAAAUAGAAUUGUUGGCGUAUUGUUAAUCUUUUUUAUUAACCAUUCAUGUUUACUUUAGUGCGAUUAUAAUAAUUGUUAUUUAUUAUUUUAUUGAAUAUUAGUGAGUUAUGUGUAACCUUCGGUUUAGAUUUAGAGUGACUUCCCUUGUUUACAAAUGCACUUUCCUCAAAAUGCACACAUGAUACCAGUGCCCUCACAUCAUUCUGUCAUGAUCUGAUUCUGAGUUCGGAUUUAGAGUUUGAAGUUCGAGAUAGUCAGAUAGAAUAUGGAUUUCACGAACGACCUAAGUUUUUUCAGAUUUGCGGUGACUGAACAGGAGCAGGAGAGUUUUGUGGUGUCAUCUGAAACUGAUGGAAAUGAACACAAUGUUGAGUCUGGAGACCAAGCGGAUAAUUUAUUGUUUGACUGCAACAAUAAUGAAAAAGCCACAGAGCAACCUUUAGACUUAGAAUGUUCUGUUGAAAUUGUUGUUGACAAUAAGAAGAAAUAUGAAUGCAAUAUGUGUGAAAACAAAUAUAGCACAAGAACUGGAUACAAAAGACAUUUAGUUAGCCAUUCCAAUGAUGGUCAAAAGUGCACUGUUUGCGAAAAAGUGUUCUAUUCCACCUAUGACUUAAAGAAUCAUAUGAGCAACCACAGUAACUUACGCACUUACUCGUGCAUUGAAUGUGAAAAAAACUUUAAAACAUAACGCGACUUAAAUGUUCACAGAACAAGGCUACACAAAUCUUACUUUAAAUGUGUGUGUGAAGUAUGUGGGAAGGGUUACAAUUAUAGAAAUGAGUUAGAUGGACACAGGGCAAAACAUGAUGGGUCCAAACCAUUUAAGUGUCCUAAGUGCAACAAAGCAUAUCAGUACAUGCCUAACCUGUCACGGCAUGUGUGCGGAAAAAUGGAAUCACCCAAGUGUGAUAAGUGUGGAAGCAUUUUCAAGACAAAACGCUACCUUCAUGAACACAUGAAGGCUCAUGAUGACCCCGAACAACAUCAGUGUUAUGUGUGUGGAACUUUUUACAAAUAUAGAUCUUCUUUUUAUAAACACAAAAAGAAGACUGGUCAUUAGUGUUUUAAAUGCUUUAGUCAGAAUAAGUACAGAUAAAACUCUGGAUAUAUUAUAAUGUUAUGAAGGCAUAUAAUUAUACAGUUAUAUCUGUUUACUGCAAGGCCUUAGCAGAAACUAAAUGGCAAUAGUAAACCCUUAUGAACCUUAUUAGCACUUGUUUUUCAGGAAAUCAUUUUGUUGACAUAAAGAAGCAUUGCUUUUGAGAAAUUACCAAUACCCGGUACACCAGCUGCAUACAAUUAAUUCAUAUUGUGGCAUUUAUUGUUUUAAUGCAGUCAUCUGAUUAUUAAUCCUGCCUUAAAAUAUAGUGUAGCAUUGUUGGAUUGUGUCCUUCUUAAGAUGAUGAUGAUGAUGAUUAUGAUUGGUUGGUUGAUGAUUAACAGCAACAAACUGUCUGAAUACGUUUUAUUUAAUAUUCUUGCUAUUUCAGGUAAUGACAUUUAUUUUUGGAGAAUAUUACAACUGUUAUAAUUUAAAUUGUUAUUAAACAGUAUUUGCAUAUUGGUUAUAUAUGUAUUAGGGCUCUGCAUUAAGGUUAUUCUGUUAAAACUACAUGUAUUUGAAUGCUUGAUGCAUGGUAUAUGUUUGUUAGGGCUGACUUGCAGUUGUUAAAUAAUAUUUUCUACCCCAUUUACGAGAUGCCAUGGUGACAAGCCAGCAUUUGAUUGUAUGAAGUUUUAUUUCUUUGAGCAAGAUGCUUGAUGAUAAUUGCAACUUUUUCUUUCAACAAUAUAUUAAAUGUGUUAUUUGUGUAUAUAUUUUUCAUUCAGCUUUCACCAGACAGAAGAAACAGGCUUUCUUAUAUUCAUUCUUUAUUGAAGUGUCUAUUGACUGAAAAGUAUUAACUGUAUAAUAUAAAUGUAUGAAAUCGUGGCAGGAGCCGCUGGUCUUUAAGUUCAUUUUAAGUUUGACUAUUGUUUUAAUUUUUGCUGGUUUAAUGUUUAGUAUUAUCAAUAAAUGUGUUCUUUGUAGCUUCCUAAUACAGUAUUACAGAAAAGAAUAAAUAACUAAUCAGA